rnacentral:rRNA from 1 species
AUUGAACGCUGGCGGCAUGCUUUACACAUGCAAGUCGAACGGUAACAGGCCGCAAGGUGCUGACGAGUGGCGAACGGGUGAGUAAUGCAUCGGAACGUGCCCAGUCGUGGGGGAUAACUGCUCGAAAGAGCAGCUAAUACCGCAUACGAUCUAUGGAUGAAAGCGGGGGACCGUAAGGCCUCGCGCGAUUGGAGCGGCCGAUGUCAGAUUAGGUAGUUGGUGGGGUAAAGGCUCACCAAGCCAACGAUCUGUAGCUGGUCUGAGAGGGCGACCAGCCACACUGGGACUGAGACACGGCCCAGACUCCUACGGGAGGCAGCAGUGGGGAAUUUUGGACAAUGGGGGCAACCCUGAUCCAGCAAUGCCGCGUGCAGGAAGAAGGCCUUCGGGUUGUAAACUGCUUUUGUACGGAGCGAAAAGCCCUGGGUUAAUACCCUGGGGUCAUGACGGUACCGUAAGAAUAAGCACCGGCUAACUACGUGCCAGCAGCCGCGGUAAAAC